CAGUCGCCGCGGGAAUACGUAGGUGGCAAGCGUUGUCCGGAAUUAUUGGGCGUAAAGGGCUCGCAGGCGGUUUCUUAAGUCUGAUGUGAAAGCCCCCGGCUCAACCGGGGAGGGUCAUUGGAAACUGGGAAACUUGAGUGCAGAAGAGGAGAGUGGAAUUCCACGUGUAGCGGUGAAAUGCGUAGAAAUGUGGAGGAACACCAGUGGCGAAGGCGACUCUCUGGUCUGUAACUGACGCUGAGGAGCGAAAGCGUGGGGAGCGAACAGGAUUAGAUACCUCUGUAGUCCCUGUCUCUUAUAC
rnacentral:rRNA from 1 species